rnacentral:rRNA from 1 species
GACGAACGCUGGCGGCGUGCCUAAUACAUGCAAGUAGAACGCUGAAGGAGGAGCUUGCUUCUCUGGAUGAGUUGCGAACGGGUGAGUAACGCGUAGGUAACCUGCCUGGUAGCGGGGGAUAACUAUUGGAAACGAUAGCUAAUACCGCAUAAUAGUAGAUGUUGCAUGACAUUUGCUUAAAAGGUGCAAUUGCAUCACUACCAGAUGGACCUGCGUUGUAUUAGCUAGUUGGUGGGGUAACGGCUCACCAAGGCGACGAUACAUAGCCGACCUGAGAGGGGGAUCGGCCACACUGGGACUGAGACGCCGCCCAGACGACUACGGGAGGCAGCAGUAGGGAAUCUUAGGCAAUGGACGGAAGUCUGACCGAGCAACGCCGCGUGAGUGAAGAAGGUUUUCGGAUCGUAAAGCUCUGUUGUAAGAGGAGAACGGGUGUGAGAGUGGAAAGUUCACACUGUGACGGUAUCUUACCAGAAAGGAACGGCUAACUACGUG